UCUGUAGGUCAGACAUGAGAAUUAAGACAUUGGUUCAGUAAUGACCUCACGUGCCAGCGCUGAGCUCUCAGGCCAUGUGUCUGUGUAUGCUUUUUGGAAAAAAAAAAAUUUACUCACUGCUUGAACUCCCAGCAGCUCUCCUGCCUCUCCAUCCCUAAUGCUGGGGUUAUGUGUAUAUGCCACCAUACUCAGGUUCAUUAUGUUCUUAAGGUUUCAUCUUUAGUUGAGAGUGUGUGGGUGCAAAAAUGCAGGUGCCAUGGAGCUAGAAAGAAGGCAUUUAGUUCCCUUGGAGCUACAACUACAGGUGUUUGUGCACUGCCUGGGAUGUGAGGUGUGGAGCAGCGGCCUGAAUUUAGGGCCUCUGCAAAACCUAUAGGUUCUCUGAGAAAGCAAUACUCUUUUUUUUUUUUUUUUUUUUUUUUGACUUUUCAAGACAGGGUUUCUCUGUGUAACUGUGGCUGUCCUGGAACUCACUUUGUAGACCAGGCUGGCCUCGAACUCGGAAAUCCGCCUGCCUCUGCCUCCCGAGUGCUGGGAUUAAAGGCGUGCGCCACCACUGCCAGGCGCAAUAGAUAAUCUUAAGUGCUACUGAGUCAUCUCUCCAGCCAAAUCACCUUAAUAGUAUUAAAUUAGAAAAAAGUGUGUUGGGCUGGUGUAUGGUGGUGCAUACCAUAACCUUAAUCCAAAUACGUGAGAGGCAGAACCUGUCUCAAAAAAAAGUUUACCAGGACUGGACCUGAAUGAAACAUUACAACUGGCAGGCCACUGCUCUGAAACCUUCAUUAAUUUUUUUUUCUUCCCUUUCCUUUUCAAGACAGGGUUUCUCUGUUUAACCCUGACUGUCCUGUAGACUCACUCUGUAGACCAGGCUGGCCUCAAGCCCAUAGAGACUCACCUACCUCUGCCUCCCAGAAUGCUGGACUUUAAGGCAUGAGCUGCCACAUCUGGCUUCACUUUCUUAACUUGGUGAAAGGUAUACACACCUUCCCACAGCUAACCCCCGGCUGGAUUAUGGUCUGAAGGAAUGAUGUGCACAAUGUUUAGGCCAUCCUAGAAGCACUGGCAACUGGAUGAAAUCAGACACAAAAGCAUGCCAGGCAAAGGGUGAGCUCUGUCUGUAUUCUGGCAGCUUGGUAGCACACCUGAAGAAGUGGUAAAGAAACUAACUUGACUAGACAAGAUCAGUGUGGAAGUCCAGGGUCUUCGACAUAGAAAUACCAAGAAGAUGGAGCAAACCCUUAAGUCAGAAGUUAAAAGAAAAUAACUGUAGUGAACCCAUCUACAAGAGCAGUCGUGAUGAUAAACACUUCAGAAUAAUCUUGGUUAUAGACAAAUAUAUAUAUGAGGAAAAAUGUAACCCUUCCUGAAAGUCCCAAAAGUAUUCUGAAUACAAAACAUGCCCUGUAUUCUUAGAUGGACAGCUUACACCAGAGAAACAGUGAAUUUCCUGUUAGUAAAUGUAGUCUCCUGUAGUCUCCUUGAUAUGUGCUCAUUGUUUUUUUGAGACAGGAUCUGUGUUCCUAACUGGUUUUGAAUUUGCAUCCUCCUACUUUGCCUCUCAAUCCAAAAAUCUGGGAUUACAGCUGUACACCACCACAUAUAUCUUUUCUACCAUCUUAAUUAAAAUAACACUUCUUAAGGAGCAAAGUAAGUUGACACUCAGGUUCAUACACAACAGUAAGCAAUUGCUGUGAAACACUGACAAGUCCUAAACAGUAAAACACACAUAAAAUAAAAGCCUCUGGUCCCAGGGUGGUGGUGAUGGUGGCGGUGCACACCUUUAACCUCAGCACCCGGGAGGCAGAGACAGGCGGAUCCUUGUGAGUUCAAGGCCAGCCUGGUCUAUAAAGUGAGUUAGAACAGCCAGGGCUGCACAGAGAAGCCUCCCUCUGGCCAAACUGCGCUUUAGGUACACGGGUACAAAGACUGCCUGAAUCUAACUCUGCAAAGACGGAGAGUCAACGCGUGAUAAAUGAUAAAGAUGCUGUAUCUAAUCCCAUGCCAAUCAUGCUGAAUGAUGCUGGCACAACUGUAUUGAUGAGGGCUUUCCUGGUGCUGUUUGUAUUCUGAUGUUAAUUCUGCUUUCUCAAGAGGGGUUGUCCCCAUGAGCUGUGAACAUGUACUCAGGUGAUCUCCCCAUUUUAACUGGUCAAUAAAGGCUAGAGCCAAUGAUUGGGCAGUGGAGGGGAAAGGUGGGACAGGUAGAGGGGAGAACAGAAUGAGAGAGGAAGGGAGAGGACAGAAAAAGAGAAGGAGGAAGCCAUGAUGGAGUAGAACCAUGUGGCCAGAAAAAACUGCAAGUAGCAAAGGGUUCCAGAGCUGGCAAGUAAGUUAGUAUAGGUGUUAGAUCUGCCCAAUCUAGGCAUAUGGCUUAUAAUUAUAAUAACUAGAUUUUGUGUUUUUUAUAUGGGCUUAUUGGAGUUGGAAAUUCCAGCAACACUGUAUGAACAUUUGGAAAAGAAAACUUGUUCUGACUUCCUACCACACAAGGAAAACAACUAUCACUGGAUCAGACAUGUACCUGUAAAAAAUGAAAACUGGAGAGAUGGCUCAGCGGUUAAGAGCACUGCCUGCUCUUCCAGAGGUGCUGAGUUCAAUUCCCAGCAACCACAUGGUGACUCACAACCAUCUGUAAUGGGAUCUGAUGUCCUCUUCUGGGGUGUCUGAAGACAGCUACCGUGUACUCAUAUAAAGGGAAAAGGGCUAGCAAGUGCCUCACCAAGAGUAGUCACCAAGCCAUCUUGCAGCUGCAGCCACUCUCCCUCUCCAUAUGGCAAGGAGACAGAAAGAACCCGGGAAGGACCUACAGCAGAGGCCCCUUCAUCCUCGAUACCUGCCAUGUCUGUCUGCUGAUAAAGAACCAGUCAUUCAGCCCAUUCUCAGAAAGAAGGCUCCAUCCUCCCGAACUGAACUUGUUAUCUCUUGUCCCUGAUUUUCUGAGACAGGAUAUAGCCAAGGACAACCUUAACUUCCUGCCUCCACCUCCAACUGUUGGUGUUCUAGGUGUGUACCACCACACCUGUUUUAUUGAAGCAGGGUCUCACUGUGAGUCUAGGCAGGCCUUGAACUCAAACCCUCCAGCUAGAACAGCCUAGCUGAGAUUGCAGUCUAGGGUUACUGAGGUGGGAAGAGCCUUAUUCUGAACCUAGCACAAUAAAUGCCCGCCUUUGAAAGUGUUAGCCAAGCAGUCGAAUAUCAUCGGGGCAGGCUGCCCAGCAAGGCAGAACAAAUCACAAGGAAUUUAGAAAAUAAAAAAUGGUCCUGAGGCUCUUCCAGGAAUUUAACUUGAGAGAUAAUAAGGACCAACAGCGUAACUCCAAGCAACACUCUGAUCCAGAGGCACUUGCAGUAGGGGUCAGCGGGAGCAAAUAAGACCCCUCCCACCACGCCCCAGGGACGAGUGGACGCAGUGCAGGGAGGGAGGGACACUCGACACCUGUGGAGAGAAGAAAAGCACACUAUGGGGCAGUGGCUCAUGACUAUAAUCCUAGCACUUAUAGUGGAAGCAGGAAUAUCAGGAAGUCAAGGCCAUUUACCAUCUAGAAAGGUAGUUAUGAGGCCUGCCUGGGCUACAUCAGAUGCAAACUCCAAAAACCAAACAACAAAAGUAAAUUACAAAGCACGCAUACUGUUUCCCAUUUGGGGUGCUUAAGAAGACUCCUGCUGUAGACAAUUCUCAGUCCUCUUGAGUACACACCUGGGAGAAGAGCCGACGGAUGCCACAGUAAUGCCGGCUGUGCCUAGAGUUACCAGACUGUGUCCUGACAAGUGGUGCCACCUGGAAGUCUGCUGAGGUUCAUGUUGGACACUGCCACUAACACUCCAUCUCUCCCUUCCUGCCAUUCUAGUCACUGCCUGGCUGUCACGGGCCUAUGACCCAGCUAUUCAGAAAGCUGAAGCAGGAGGAUCAAAAGUUCACAGUCCUCCUGGGCUACACAACAAGUUCAAUGCCAGUCUGAACAACUUACUAUGAGCCUGUCUCAAAAUAAAACAAAACCCCUUCA